rnacentral:rRNA from 2 species
AAACCAACCGGGAUUGCCUCAGUAACGGCGAGUGAAGCGGCAAAAGCUCAAAUUUGAAAUCUGGUACCUUCGGUGCCCGAGUUGUAAUUUGUAGAAGGUAACUUUGGGGCUGGUCCUUGUCUAUGUUCCUUGGAACAGGACGUCAUAGAGGGUGAGAAUCCCGUGUGGCGAGGAUCCCAGUUCUAUGUAAAGUGCUUUCGAAGAGUCGAGUUGUUUGGGAAUGCAGCUCUAAGUGGGUGGUAAAUUCCAUCUAAAGCUAAAUAUUGGCGAGAGACCGAUAGCGAACAAGUACAGUGAUGGAAAGAUGAAAAGAACUUUGAAAAGAGAGUGAAAAAGUACGUGAAAUUGUUGAAAGGGAAGGGCAUUUGAUCAGACAUGGUGUUUUGCGCCCUCUGCUCCUCGUGGGUGGGGGAAUCUCGCAGCUCACUGGGCCAGCAUCAGUUUUGGCGGUAGGAUAAAUCUGCAGGAAUGUAGCUUGCUUCGGCAAGUGUUAUAGCCUGUUGAAAUACCCCCCGC